UUUCUACUCCGUCCGUCCGAAAAUACUUGUCAUCAAAAUGGAUAAAAAUAGAUGUAUCUAAAACUAAAAUACGUCUAGAUACAUUUCCUUUUAUCCAUUUUGAUGACAAGUAUUUCCGGACGGAGGGAGUAUUUG
rnacentral:pre_miRNA from 1 species